GACGAACGCUGGCGGCGUGCUUAACACAUGCAAGUCGAACGGAAAGACGCUGCGUUUGUGGGGUGCUUGUGUGCGGCACGGGUGAGAAUCACGUGUGUAUCCUGCCCUUGACUUUGUGAUAUCUUCAGGAGACUGGGGCGCAUACAGGAUAGGAGCUCCUGCACCAUAUUGUGCGUUGGUAAGAUACGGCGGUUGGGGAUCGACUCGCAGCUUAUCAGCUUGUUGGUGGGGUAGUGGCUUACCAAGGCUUUGACGGGUAGCCGGCCUGAGAGGGUGACCGGCGACAUAGGGACUGAGAUACGGCCCAGACUCCUACGGGAGGCAGCAGGGGGAAAUAUUGCACAAUGGGCGGAAGCCGGAUGAAGCAACGCCGCGUGCGGGAUGACGGCCUUCGGGGUGUAAACCGCUUUCGCCUGUGACGAAGCGUGAGUGACGGUAAUGUAUAAAGAAGCACCGGCUAACUACGUG
rnacentral:rRNA from 1 species